rnacentral:rRNA from 1 species
GUAGGGGUUCUUAGUGGAAGGUCCCCCACACUGGGCACUGGAGAUACGGGCCAGACUCCUACGGGAGGCAGCAGUAGGGAAUAUUGGUCAAUGGGCGCAAGCCUGAACCAGCCAUGCCGCGUGCAGGAUGAAGGCUCUCUGAGUUGUAAACUGCUUUUGUACAGGAGCAAAAAAAUCCCUGCGGGGGUUCUUGAGAGUACUGUAAGAAUAAGCACCGGCUAAUUCCGUGCCAGCAGCCGCGGUAAUACGGGAGGUGCAAGCGUUAUCCGGUUUUAUUGGGUUUAAAGGGUGCGUAGGCGGCUUAUUAAGUCAGUUGUGAAAUCCUAGUGCUUAACGCUAGAACUGCGAUUGAUACUAUUAGGCUUGAGUUAAGAAGAGGUAA